rnacentral:rRNA from 1 species
GAUGAACGCUGGCGGCGUGCCUAAUACACGCAAGUCGAGCGAACGGACGAGAAGCUUGCUUUUCUGAUGUUAGCGGCGGACGGGUGAGUAACACGUGGAUAACCUACCUAUAAGACUGGGAUAACUUCGGGAAACCGGAGCUAAUACCGGAUAAUAUUUUGAACCGCAUGGUUCAAAAGUGAAAGACGGUCUUGCUGUCACUUAUAGAUGGAUCCGCGCUGCAUUAGCUAGUUGGUAAGGUAACGGCUUACCAAGGCAACGAUGCAUAGCCGACCUGAGAGGGUGAUCGGCCACACUGGAACUGGGAAACGGUCCAGACUCCUACGGGAGGCAGCAGUAGGGAAUCUUCCGCAAAGGGCGAAAGCCUGACGGAGCAACGCCGCGUGAGUGAUGAAGGUCUUCGGAUCGUAAAACUCUGUUAUUAGGGAAGAACAUAUGUGUAAGUAACUGUGCACAUCUUGACGGUACCUAAUCAGAAGGCCACGGCUAACUACGUG